rnacentral:tRNA from 1 species
GUGUUUAUGUUAAUUAUGUUGUUUAAGGUUCAUUUGAAAUAAUACAGUCGCGAGUUCAAAUCUCGCUAACCGCACCA